rnacentral:rRNA from 1 species
GCCUCCCUCUUUCCUCGUGCUUCCCCCCUGCACGUCGAGCGGAAAGGCCCUUCGGGGUCCUCGAGCGGCGAACGGGUGAGUAACACGUGAGUAACCUGCCCUAGGCUUUGGGAUAACCCCGGGAAACCGGGGCUAAUACCGGAUAUGACCUGGUGCCGCAUGGUGUUGGGUGGAAAGUUUUUUCGGCCUGGGAUGGGCUCGCGGCCUAUCAGCUUGUUGGUGGGGUGAUGGCCUACCAAGGCGAUGACGGGUCGCCGGCCUGAGAGGGCGACCGGCCACACUGGGACUGAGACACGGCCCAGACUCCUACGGGAGGCAGCAGUGGGGAAUAUUGCACAAUGGGCGGAAGCCUGAUGCAGCGACGCCGUGUGAGGGAUGAAGGCCGUCGGGUUGUAAACCUCUUUCAGCAGGGACGAAGCGUGAGUGACGGUACCUGCAGAAGAAGCGCCGGCCAACUACGUG